rnacentral:rRNA from 1 species
GGGGAAUCUUGCGCAAUGGGCGAAAGCCUGACGCAGCAACGCCGCGUGGGGGAUGAAGGCUCUCGGGUCGUAAACCCCUUUCAGCAGGGACGAUUGUGACGGUACCUGCAGAAGAAGGCCCGGCCAACUACGUGCCAGCAGCCACGGUAACACGUAGGGGCCAAGCGUUGUCCGGAUUUAUUGGGCGUAAAGAGCUCGUAGGCGGUUCGGUAAGUCGGGUGUGAAAACUCUGGGCUCAACCCAGAGACGCCACUCGAUACUGCUGUGACUAGAGUCCGGUAGGGGAGCAUGGAAUUCCUGGUGUAGCGGUGAAAUGCGCAGAUAUCAGGAGGAACACCAGCGGCGAAGGCGGUGCUCUGGGCCGGAACUGACGCUGAGGAGCGAAAGCGUGGGUAGCGAAC